rnacentral:rRNA from 1 species
GAACUCGGCAAAAUAGCCCCAUAACUUCGGGAGAAGGGGUGCCUCCUCACAAAGGGGGUCGUAGUGACCAGGCUCGGGCUACUAUUUACCAAAAACACAGGUCUAUGCAAAGUCGUAAGACCAUAUAUGGGGGUUGACGCCUGCCCAGUGCCGAAAGGUCGUUUGACCACCUAAAUAAAGGAAAAUGAUUUGACCACAUGCAUUAUUUACACCAAGUUUUAAGCUAAGU